rnacentral:rRNA from 1 species
AGUGACGUCAAAUCAUCAUGCCCUUACGUCCUGGCGACACACGUACUACAAUGCGAGGGACAGAGAGCAGCCAACCCGCGAGGGAGAGCGAACCUCUUAAACCCUGGCACAGUUCAGAUUGCAGGCUGCAACUCGCCUGCAUGAAGGAGGAAUCGCUAGUAAUCGCAGGUCAGCAUACUGCGGUGAAUCCGUUCCCGGGCCUU